rnacentral:rRNA from 1 species
AACGAACGCUGGCGGCAGGCUUAACACAUGCAAGUCGAACGCGUGUAGCAAUACACGAGUGGCGCACGGGUGAGUAACGCGUGGAUAUCUGCCUUUUAGUUCGGAAUAACCCCGGGAAACUGGGGCUAAUACCGGAUGGUUCCUUCGGGAUAAAGAUUUAUCGCCAAAAGAUGAGUCCGCGUCCGAUUAGCUAGUUGGUGAGGUAAUGGCUCACCAAGGCGACGAUCGGUAGCUGGUCUGAGAGGACGAUCAGCCACACUGGGACUGAGACACGGCCCAGACUCCUACGGGAGGCAGCAGUGGGGAAUAUUGGACAAUGGGGGCAACCCUGAUCCAGCCAUGCCGCGUGAGUGAUGAAGGCCUUCGGGUUGUAAAGCUCUUUUGGCGGGGACGAUGAUGACGGUACCCGCAGAAUAAGCCCCGGCUAACUUCGUGCCAGCCGCCGCAGUAACAC